rnacentral:rRNA from 1 species
GACGAACGCUGGCGGCGUGCUUAACACAUGCAAGUCGAACCGAGCGAAUGAAAAGCUUGCUUUUAUGAGCUUAGUGGCAAACCGGGUGAGUAACACGUAGACAACCUGCCGGAUCAGAUGGGGACAACAUUCCCGAAAGGAAUGCUAAUACCCGAAUGGCGUGUAGGGGGAGGCAUCUUCCCCUACAUGAAAAGAUGGCCUCUAUAUAUAAGCUAUCACUGAUCGAUGGGUCUGCGUCUGAUUAGCUAGUAGGUAAGGUAACGGCUUACCUAGGCGACGAUCAGUAGCCGGUCUGAGAGGAUGAACGGCCACAUUGGGACUGAGACACGGCCCAGACUUCCUACGGGAGGCAGCAGUGGGGAAUCUUCCGCAAUGGGCGCAAGCUGACGGAGCAACGCCGCGUGAGUGAAGAAGGUCUUCGGAUCGUAAAGCUCUGUUGAAGGGGACGAACGAUCGAGGGGC